rnacentral:rRNA from 1 species
AACGAACGCUGGCGGCAGGCCUAACACAUGCAAGUCGAACGAGAAGCCACCUUCGGGUGGUGGACAGUGGCAGACGGGUGAGUAACGCGUGGGAACGUGCCUUUCGGUUCGGAAUAACCCAGGGAAACUUGGGCUAAUACCGGAUACGCCCUUCGGGAGAAAGAUUCAUUGCCGAAAGAUCGGCCCGCGUCGGAUUAGCUAGUUGGUGGGGUAAUGGCCCACCAAGGCGACGAUCCGUAGCUGGUCUGAGAGGAUGACCAGCCACACUGGGACUGAGACACGGCCCAGACUCCUACGGGAGGCAGCAGUGGGGAAUAUUGGACAAUGGGCGAAAGCCUGAUCCAGCCAUGCCGCGUGGGUGAAGAAGGCCUUAGGGUUGUAAACCCCUUUCAGCGGGGAAGAUAAUGACGGUACCCGCAGAAGAAGUCCCGGCUAACUCCGUGCCAGCCGCCGCUGUAAUAC